rnacentral:rRNA from 2 species
AAACCAACAGGGAUUGCCCCAGUAACGGCGAGUGAAGCGGCAACAGCUCAAAUUUGAAAUCUGGCUCUCGGGCCCGAGUUGUAAUUUGUAGAGGAUGCUUUUGGUGAGGUGCCUUCCGAGUUCCCUGGAACGGGACGCCAUAGAGGGUGAGAGCCCCGUCUGGUUGGACGCCGAACCUCUGUAAAGCUCCUUCGACGAGUCGAGUAGUUUGGGAAUGCUGCUCUAAAUGGGAGGUAUAUGUCUUCUAAAGCUAAAUACCGGCCAGAGACCGAUAGCGCACAAGUAGAGUGAUCGAAAGAUGAAAAGAACUUUGAAAAGAGAGUUAAACAGUACGUGAAAUUGUUGAAAGGGAAGCGCUUGUGACCAGACUUGGGCUUGGUUGAUCAUCCGGGGUUCUCCCCGGUGCACUCUUCCGGCCCAGGCCAGCAUCAGUUCGCCCUGGGGGAUAAAGGCAUCGGGAACGUGGCUCUCUCCGGGGAGUGUUAUAGCCCGUUGCGUAAUACCCUGCGGCGGACUGAGGUUCGCGCAUUCGCAAGGAUGCUGGCGUAAUGGUCAUCAGUGAC